UCUCUGGUGGCUCAGCGGCAAAGAAUCUGUCUCCAAAGCAGGAGACACAGGAGACACAGGUUCAAUCCCUGUAUUGGGAA
rnacentral:tRNA from 1 species